rnacentral:rRNA from 1 species
GACGAACGCUGGCGGCGUGCUUAACACAUGCAAGUCGAACGGAAAGGCCCUGCUUUUGUGGGGUGCUCGAGUGGCGAACGGGUGAGUAACACGUGAGUAACCUGCCCUUGACUUUGGGAUAACUUCAGGAAACUGGGGCUAAUACCGGAUAGGAGCUCCUGCUGCAUGGUGGGGGUUGGAAAGUUUCGGCGGUUGGGGAUGGACUCGCGGCUUAUCAGCUUGUUGGUGGGGUAGUGGCUUACCAAGGCUUUGACGGGUAGCCGGCCUGAGAGGGGGACCGGCCACAUUGGGACUGAGAGACGGCCCAGACUCCUACAGGAGGCAGCGGUGGGGAGUAUUGCACAAUGGGCGGAAGCCUGAUACAGCGGCGCCGCGUGCGGGAUGACGGCCUUCGGGUUGUAAACCGCUUUCGCCUGUGACGAAGCGUGAGUGACGGUAAUGGGUGAAGAAGCACCGGCUAACUACGUG